rnacentral:lncRNA from 1 species
GGAAUUAAAGUUAAACUAUGAAGUUUUGUUUUUAGUAAGAAGUCUAUGUGUUAUAUUGCACCAAAUCAUGGUUUCUGUUUCUUCCACCUAUUUUCAAUAGAAACCAUUCUCCAGGUAAAGACAGGUUACCAUGAAGUGCUCCACCACUCUAAAAGACCAGGAAGGAAUGUACCUGUAUGUUGGGCUGAACAGGGACAGGGAGGUGCUGUAUUACUACCAGCAUGACUCCAAGCUGACCCCCAGGAAUGGCUACUGGGACAGAGUGAAGACUGAGGGACCAACUGACCAUUACCAUCACAGGUAUCUGCUGGUGUGUUUACGCAAAAGUCAAUGAAAAUGAUAUCAACCAAGGAAGAAGCUCCACUCUGGUAGUAGUGAAUGACGAUGCCCUCCAGCUGCCAUGCCCCACAGCUACUGCAGUAACACUGACCCCCUUUCACUCAGCCAACAAGAAGCCGUGCCCAUCCGGCGUGGAAAGCAUCAUCAUCAUCAUCAUCAUCACCAGCAUCUUGACCACCCUGAUAUGUGCCGUCAUCUUCCUCGUCUGGUUCGCUCCACUGGUGAAGAGGUGCUGUAACCAGGGAGGAUACACACCACAGGUCUUUCCUGACUCGGUCUAUGAAGACAUGGCCCGGAAUCACAUUUAUCCAUCAGGCACACAGCAGGUAGAAUCGUACCUCUAUUCUGUGUCUACCAAAGGAGGAAGUAGAACCACUGUGUAGCUUCUUCAAAUGCUUUCUCUGAAUAUUGCUUCUUUACUUCAUCAGAAUUGACAAACCUGUUCUGCUGUGUUUCACAGUUCUAGCCUCAAUGCAAGUCUUA